rnacentral:rRNA from 1 species
GAUGAACGCUGGCGGCGUGCCUAAUACAUGCAAGUCGAGCGAACGGACGAGAAGCUUGCUUCUCUGAUGUUAGCGGCGGACGGGUGAGUAACACGUGGAUAACCUACCUAUAAGACUGGGAUAACUUCGGGAAACCGGAGCUAAUACCGGAUAAUAUUUUGAACCGCAUGGUUUAAAAGUGAAAGACGGUCUUGCUGUCACUUAUAGAUGGAUCCGCGCUGCAUUAGCUAGUUGGUAAGGUAACGGCUUACCAAGGCAACGAUGCAUAGCCGACCUGAGAGGGUGAUCGGCCACACUGGAACUGAGACACGGUCCAGACUCCUACGGGAGGCAGCAGUAGGGAAUCUUCCGCAAAGGGCGAAAGCCUGACGGAGCAAAGCCGCGUGAGUGAUGAAGGUCUUCGGAUCGUAAAACUCUGUUAUUAGGGAAGAACAUAUGUGUAAGUAACUGUGCACAUCUUGACGGUACCUAAUCAGAAAGCCACGGCUAACUACGUG